CCAACAAGCCUGUCAUCGGUACGGGUUGUGGGAGCAAGAGCCCGGAGAUGGAUUCUGAGACACGAAUCCAGGCCCUACGGGGUGCAGCAGGCGCGAAAACUUUACCAUGCGGGCAACCGUGAUAAGGAAACCCCGAGUGCCAGCAGAGGUUGGCUGUCCGCCAGUGUACAUAACUGGUGAAGAAAGGGCCGGGCAAGACCGGUGCCAGCCGCCGCGGUAAUACCGGCGGCUCGAGUGGUGGCCGCUAUUACUGGGCUUAAAGGGUCCGUAGCUGGAUGUACAAGUCCCUUGAGAAAUCCGCGGGCUUAACCUGCGGGCGUUCAGGGGAAACUGUAUUUCUAGGGACCGGGAGAGGUGAGAGGUACUGCCGGGGUAGGAGUGAAAUCCUGUAAUCCCGGUGGGACCACCUAUGGCGAAGGCAUCUCACCAGAACGGGUCCGACAGUGAGGGACGAAAGCUGGGGGAGCAAACCGGAUUAGAUACCCGGGUAGUCCCAGCUGUAAACGAUGCGCGUUAGGUGUGUCAGUGACCACGUGUCACUGAGGUGCCGAAGGGAAACCGUGAAACGCGCCGCCUGGGGAGUACGGUCGCAAGGCUGAA
rnacentral:rRNA from 1 species